GGGGUUGUGGCUCAGCGGUAGAGCACUCGCCUAGCAUGUGUGAGGCCCUGGGUUCCAUCCUCAGCACCACCU
rnacentral:tRNA from 1 species